rnacentral:rRNA from 1 species
AUGGCGCCACCGCCGCUAGCCACGGCGGCGGCGGACGAGGAGUUCUUGGAGGUGCGCUGCGCGGGGUGCGAGGAGACGUUGGAGGUGGAGCGGGGGCUGACGGAGUUCGUUUGCCCCGACUGCGGCACGGCGCAGUCGCUCCCUCCGGAGCUCAUGCCGCCGGCCCGGCGGAGGGCGCUGCCCCUGCCGCGACGCGCCGCGGACGCGCGCGGGGCCAGGCUUCCGUGCGGCGCCUGCGGCGAGCUCCUCAGCGUGCCGGUCGGGCUAUCGCGCUGCGCCUGCCCACUCUGCGGCGCCCAGCUGGCCGUCGACUCCGCGCGCCUGCGGAACUACAUCCUCUCCUCCGCCGAGGCGGCCGUCGUGCCGCUCGCCGCCGCAUCUGUCCCACCGAUUGUUGCUGCUCGGGAGAAAUGGCAAGAGCGUCCUAGUUAUGCAAUGCGCGCAGGGCUACCACGAGCAGAACCUGAUGAACAACAGGGGUAUACUGAUCAUAUGAUUGAUGGAGAACAAAUACAUGUGACAAAUGAGACCGUUGCAAAUAAUAGCCUUCAGAGAAAUCGACCGCCCCUUGGCCGUCGUAUUGUAGGCAACGAGGAGAGACAAGCUUUGCCUCUAAAUGAGGUCAGAGAUCAUGUAAAUGAUCAGCACCCUAGUUACACUAUGCAGCCAAAGCGAGCGAAGCUGGCACGCUUGCAUAGAGUCACUCAUUCAGAGGAGAUGCAGGAUGGACUUCUCAGCCAUGAAGUUUAUGGAGAGGCGGGACAUAGUGAACUGAUAGAUGAGGCUACUGCAACUCAUAAAAACCAGAGAGUCGGAUGCUCCGUUAGCCCCCAAACUGUAAGUAUAGGGGAGAGGCAUAUGGAGACUCCUGCUCAGAUCAUACAGCAGGUGCACAAACAGCCUUUUCAUGAUGCGGUGGUUCAUGCAGAAGGCAGUCAGUUAUACUGUCUGGAUCUUGAUGGGGUGGUUCAUCCACCUGUCGACCAAGCAGAACAUGGAGAAGAGGCAUCUCCUGAGAUGAUCAAUAAAACAGUUUUGAGGGAGAGCAUUCGGCCAACUGGAUGCGCUGUUGAACCCAACUCUGUUAAUGUAGAGAAGAGAAAGGCAUCGGCCACAAAUCAGGCAAUUCAUGAGUGUCUCAAUCCUGCAACUAAUAGAGAAGCCAUGUGCUCUCUUCCUAUAAAGGAGACUACUGCAUCAUGUAGUAGCAAGCAGAAAAAAUCAAAGUUAGCUAAUGCUAAGACUAUUGGCAAGAAGAGACAUAUAGAACCACUGAACCACAUUAUACAGCAGGCAGAAGGACAGACCUCUGAUAGCGGUAGUCAUGGAAUCCAGGUCGACUUUGAGCGUCAAAGUAAGGCUAAUGAGAGGCCUGGCAACAGCUCGACUCUUAAGGAGCGGGAACAGGUUGCGCCUCCAAAUAAGAUGGCUGAUCUAAAACAGAAAAAUGUACGCACUAAUGAUGAAACCCAGAAGGGGCAGAUUGAAGUUAAUGUUUCCAAGCAGACUACUGGUUGGACUCAGAAGAAGAAUAGAAAAGGCUCAAUAGCUUCAUCAAGUGCAGGGCUUCUGCUUAGACGUAGUAAACGUUUGGCCAAAGAUUCAGCUGCUGCUAUAGAAAAUGAACCUCUAGAAAGUGACCCUGGUGACCUGCAGGAUUUUGGUCCUAAUGUCCAAGUGCCAGCAGAUGCUAUGAAUAACGAAUCAAUUGACUGGGAGCCUCUUCAGCAGUGUCCUGCCUCUCCAGAUUGUGAAGUGUCAAUUGCCAUGAUAGACACUGAAUCUGUAGAAAGUGAGAACGAUGAUGCUGUAUCUCCAGAUGAAAGCAUGUCUGAUCCUGACUAUCCGGACACUGAUAGAAUGAGCGCUGGUCUUUACCCUAGCACACCGUCUGCGCAUAAGUUGCCUCAAGAAAUCUCUGAUGAACUAGAUGACCUUGAUUUAACAAGAACUCCUUCAAAUACUGAUAUGUCUGAACCUGAGCAUUUCGCGCGGAAUUAUUGUCGGUUAUUACCUCUAGAGGUCAGAAGGGCCCUUGCCAAGAAGAAAUAUAAUGCGUUUCAUGACCGUCUGCUGCCUGAGGGUUCCAAUAAGGUAUUCCUGCACGAUAUAACUGAUUCUGAGGAGCAGCAACAAGGUAAAAAGGGACACAAAGCAGGAGGUAAUCUUUGUGUCAAAAUGUGGACCUUGCCUGAGGGUGUACGGGUGCCAAUCUCCUUGAACACUUCGGGCCUGCCAAUUGGAGAAAAUGCAAACAUGUUGAUUAACUUUCUAGGCGCACUAGCACGAGAUGGAAUAUUGGCACCUCUCACGUAUAUAAGUUGGAAAAAUAUUCCAAAGGAGAACAAGGAUGUUAUGUGGCACAUUGUUAAGCUUAAAUUUGAUGUUGAUCGACCUCACGAGUUGUCGGUCCUGAGGUCAAUAAGAAACAAGUGGCGGGUUUGGAAAUCUUAUUUAAAACGGAAACACUAUGAUUCUCAUACAACCGAAGAGGAACGCCUUGCUGAUCGAGAUCCUCGUGUCACAAAAGAACAAUGGCGAGUCCUUGUUGCAUAUUGGAAUACCGAGAAGGCAAAGGCCAGAAGUGCUGCAUCUAAAGCUUCUCGAGCCAAAUCAACCUAUAUCAAUAAAACCGGAUCCAAGAGCUUUGCGCGGAUGCGUCAGGAAGAGUCACGAUCUGGUGACCCAUCUCUUGAGGGUCCAGAAGGCUCAGGAGACGGCUAUGCACCUGCCAUCGGUGCAAACAGGAGGGUUAGUGCACGCAGGCAUACACCUGGGCCCUCCCCCAAAGACCUGCAGGAAAGGUCAGACACGCAAGCUGCGAGGGCCAAACGAAAGGCUGGAGAUGAAGUCUCCACACUGAGAAAUAAGGUGGUAGUAACAGAGGAAAGUCGCCCGAAGAACUCCCAGGAAAGUGCAGUCUUGGAAUCUGCGAGGGAUAAAAGAAGGGCUGAAGAUGAGGCAGCCGCUCUAAGGAAGAAGGUGAUAGCGAUGGAGGAAAGUCAGAGAAAGCUUCAGGAGGACUUGGCAAGAGUGACGAAUGCAAUGAGUGCUAUGCAGAAGAUGAUGGCAACUGGUGGCUUACCAAAUCGAAAUGGGUGA